UCCCUAGACAUUAGGUUUAAAGCCACAUGG
rnacentral:piRNA from 1 species